UACGUAGGUGACAAGCGUUGUUCGGAUUCAUUGGGCGUAAAGGGUGCGUAGGCGGCGCGGUAAGUCGGGUGUGAAAUCUCGGAGCUUAACUCCGAAACUGCAUUCGAUACUGCCGUGCUUGAGGACUGGAGAGGAGACUGGAAUUUACGGUGUAGCGGUGAAAUGCGUAGAUAUCGUAAGGAAGACCAGUGGCGAAGGCGGGUCUCUGGACAGUUCCUGACGCUGAGGCACGAAGGCCAGGGGAGCAAACGGG
rnacentral:rRNA from 1 species